UACGUAGGGCGCAAGCGUUGUCCGGAAUUAUUGGGCGUAAAGAGCUCGUAGGCGGCUUGUCACGUCGGGUGUGAAAGCCCGGGGCUUGACCCCGGGUCUGCAUUCGAUACGGGCUAGCUAGAGUGUGGUAGGGGAGAUCGGAAUUCCUGGUGUAGCGGUGAAAUGCGCAGAUAUCAGGAGGAACACCGGUGGCGAAGGCGGAUCUCUGGGCCAUUACUGACGCUGAGGAGCGAAAGCGUGGGGAGCGAACAGG
rnacentral:rRNA from 1 species